GAUGAACGCUAGCGGGAGGCCUAACACAUGCAAGCCGAGCGGUAUUUGUUCUUCGGAACAGAGAGAGCGGCGAACGGGUGCGGAACACGUGUGUAACCUGCCUUUAUCUGGGGGAUAGCCUUUCGAAAGGAAGAUUAAUACCCCAUAAUAUAUUGAGUGGCAUCACUUGAUAUGGAAAACUCCGGUGGAUAGAGAUGGGCACGCGCAAGAUUAGAUAGUUGUUGAGGUAACGGCUCACCAAGUCAAUUAUCUUUAGGGGGCCUGAGAGGGUGAUCCCCGACGGUGGUACGGAGACACGGACCAGACUCACACGGCAGGCAGCAGUGAGGGAUAUUGGACGGUGAGAUAGCGCAUGAUCCAGCCAUCCCGCGUGAAGGACGACGGCCCUAUGGGUUGUAAACUUCUUUUGUAUAGGGAUAAAACUACUCUCGUGAGAGUAGCUGAAGGUACUAUAAGAAUAAGCACCGGCUAACUCCGUG
rnacentral:rRNA from 1 species